rnacentral:rRNA from 1 species
CACGUAGGGCGCAAGCGUUGUCCGGAAUUAUUGGGCGUAAAGAGCUCGUAGGCGGUCUGUUGCGUCCGCUGUGAAAACCCGGGGCUUAACCCCUGGCUUGCAGUGGAUACGGACAGACUAGAGGUAGGUAGGGGAGAAUGGAAUUCCCGGUGUAGCGGUGAAAUGCGCAGAUAUCGGGAGGAACACCGGUGGCGAAGGCGGUUCUCUGGGCCUUACCUGACGCUGAGGCGCGAAAGCUAGGGGAGCGAACAGG